GAGCUGAUUCUAUGGAGUGGGACUUGCUUCAGUGGGGCUUUGGUGCUCACUGAGUCCGCCCCUUAAGUAUGUCACU
rnacentral:pre_miRNA from 1 species